UAGCUAGUUGGUGAGGUAAAGGCUUACCAAGGCGACGAUCUGUAGCGGGUCUGAGAGGAUGAUCCGCCACACUGGAACUGAGACACGGUCCAGACUCCUACGGGAGGCAGCAGUGGGGAAUUUUGGACAAUGGGGGCAACCCUGAUCCAGCCAUGCCGCGUGAGUGAAGAAGGCCUUCGGGUUGUAAAGCUCUUUCGGCCGGGAAGAAAUCGCAUGGGCCAAUACCCUGUGUGGAUGACGGUACCGGAAUAAGAAGCACCGGCUAACUACGUGCCAGCAGCCGCGGUAAUACGUAGGGUGCGAGCGUUAAUCGGAAUUACUGGGCGUAAAGCGUGCGCAGGCGGUUUUGUAAGACAGGCGUGAAAUCCCCGGGCUUAACCUGGGAACUGCGUUUGUGACUGCAAGGCUAGAGUACGGCAGAGGGGGGUGGAAUUCCACGUGUAGCAGUGAAAUGCGUAGAGAUGUGGAGGAACACCAAUGGCGAAGGCAGCCCCCUGGGUCGAUACUGACGCUCAUGCACGAAAGCGUGGGUAGCAAACAGGAUUAGAUACCCUGGUAGUCCACGCCCUAAACUAUGUCAACUAGGUGUUGGGGGUAAAACCAUUUAGUACCGUAGCUAACGCGUGAAGUUGACCGCCUGGGGAGUACGGCCGCAAGGUUAAAACUCAAAGGAAUUGACGGGGACCCGCACAAGCGGUGGAUGAUGUGGAUUAAUUCGAUGCAACGCGAAAAACCUUACCUACCCUUGACAUGCCAGGAACUUGCCAGAGAUGGCUUGGUGCCCGAAAGGGAGCCUGGACACAGGUGCUGCAUGGCUGUCGUCAGCUCGUGUCGUGAGAUGUUGGGUUAAGUCCCGCAACGAGCGCAACCCUUGUCGUUAAUUGCCAUCAUUUAGUUGGGCACUUUAACGAGACUGCCGGUGACAAACCGGAGGAGGGUGGGGAUGACGUCAAGUCCUCAUGGCCCUUAUGGGUAGGGCUUCACACGUCAUACAAUGGUCGGUACAAAGGGUUGCCAAGCCGCGAGGCGGAGCCAAUCCCAGAAAGCCGAUCGUAGUCCGGAUUGCAGGCUGCAACUCGCCUGCAUGAAGUCGGAAUCGCUAGUAAUCGUGGAUCAGCAUGUCACGGUGAAUACGUUCCCGGGUCUUGUACACACCGCCCGUCACACCAUGGGAGCGGGUUCCGCCAGAAGUAGGUAGCCUAACCGCAAGGGGGGCGCUUACCACGGCGGGGUUCGUGACUGGGGUGAAGUCGUAACAAGGUAGCCGUAGGGGAACCUGCGGCUG
rnacentral:rRNA from 1 species